AGGAAGAGCUUCAGGCGGAGGGUGCUACCAGCACGGGUGAAACGACCAGAACGACGAUUCCGACGAAGAGAAACCACCAUCGUAACGAAGAACACAAGAACGAGAGUCGACGAGAAAACAGAGGAAGCGAAAGAAAAUGAAGAGAAAAGGACCGAUUGUUGAGCUAGAGCUCAACGCUCUGAUACCAUUUUAGUAAAAGAGAAGAUGAACAGAAAGAUGCUCUUGAGCUCAGCUAUGGCGGAAAGAGAGCUAAGAGAGAGAAACGACAAAAGGAACUUUUCUGUUAUCAUUAUCAAAUGAGAGUUGUGUGACUAUAUACAGUUGUCAUAACAACCUAACCAAAACAAACCAUGUAUCUAUUUACGAUCACUAAACCGUAUUUACAUAACCAACAUCAAUAUAUCAAUAGAUUUUGGUUUAGUUUCAUAGUCUGCUUGUUUAUAUUAUUUCUUUUUUAUCAUGCGGUCUAAUUAGGGUCAAGAGAUGGUUCAUCUCAGAUCAUGGGAUGAAAUCGUUUUGGUGUGGUGAAAAUAUAGCAGCGACAUCUAGACCGAGUAGCAUGGAUCCUUUUUAAGUGUUAUUAGGUGAUCUUUUGAUCUCAGGGGUUGGUCGUAUAUUGGAUUUAAAUCUUUUGAGGUUGUAAUUUUGUAUGCGGAGGGCACUUUAUACCAAAACCCAGACCGAAUAUACACCGAAUAAAAACGCUAUAAAGUUUGAUCUUCUCAAAUCUCAAACCGGGUCACCAUCCUCGGGUUCCCGCUCUGUUUCCACACAGAGUCCACAAUCUACAGAGUCCAUCCCUUGAACUCGUUGUAGCUGCGAGUCUAAUCGGAAGAGCUCCUGAUAAAUGGAGAACGCCACGCUCAUCACAAUUUCAGACCUAGUCGACGAAGGCCGUCCCAUCACGGGUGCAUCGUCCCUAUUCAAUUCAUCGUCUCCUCACAGUAGAAACCCUCAAUCACGUCUCGGUACCGUCGAUUCGAAGUCAAGCCGUAAAUUUCUCGCACCGUUAAACUACCCGGCGGUUAUCGUCGGGACGCUAGCUCUUCCUUCCGAAACCCUAAAAUGUCCGAAUCGCUACUGCUUUCGAUUUACAGACGGCGUCUUGACGAUCUGCUGCGAUAUCAUCGGUUUCGAAAUUCGUGCGAUUGGGAGUACGAUACGUGUUCUUUCUUGGAAUUUCAUUCCUACGAAUCAUCACGGUGGGGUUUUGGAGAUUAUCAAGUGGAGAUUCGUGGAGGAUUCUGUUGAGUUGCUUUCUCGGUGUUCGUUUCCAUUGGUUCCUCCUCCUCGGAUCUCAGUAGAGAAUGGUGGUGGUAAGUCACGGUAUAGCGUCCGUGGUGUGUUGGAGUCUGUUAGCCCUGUGUCUCUUGUUCCUUUGGGUUCUGAUGAUUCCGUGAAGGGGUUUUUGGUAAAGGUAAUGGCUUGUGAGUGUAAAGAAUGUAGACGGAAGGAUGUGUUGGAUUCGAUUCACUGUAGUCACUGUUUUGAGAAGUCAGUCUUCGUUUACUUCUGUGGUUCAGUUGCUGCGAGUUGGCACCCUGCUAUUGUGAAGCUAGUUGGAAGAAACAUUGCUCUAUCGGGGAUGAAGAAGAAGUUGGUAUAUAUAAGCAAAUGUGAUUCUCUGUUGGUGUUUGUGACGACUGACAACUCUGUUCUUCAUUCACCUUGGAUUUCUAAGAAAGAUGAAUCUUUGAAAAGUGUUGUUGAUGGGCGAGGUAACUGCGGUUCCUACCUUGGAUUUGUCAACCGCUUGUACAUGAAAGGGAAGCUUGUUGAGCUGGAUGAAGAUGUCUGGCUUUUAUUGACCGAUCAGAUACAUAACAGAUCACACAGUAUCCGGACUGGUUCCCUUAUUUUUGUCAGAAAUGUUCAUUUUGUGAAUACCAUAUUUUCUUGGGGAAAAGUGCUUAUACUUGGGGCAUGUUUUAAGACCAGCAUCACAGUUGAGAAAUUUUCACCUUUUGAAACAAGUUGUCUUGUAGAUUCAUGUUUGCAGACAUCUCUGAGUCGUUUCGUUGAGUCUUUGUCCUUUCCUGCAAGAUUUUGGACACUACUUGUUAGUUCGUGCUUCCAGAACUUUGGCGGAAUGGCAUCAGACAAGGAAAGUUUGAGAUCAUGCCAGGAGGAUGAACUGACAAAGAUGUAUGCAGAGUCACGAAUACCACCAUCCAUGUUUCAACCUAGGUCCGGGCUUUUUACUGAAUUCUGCAUGCAUGAAUCUUGCGGAUGCAAUAGUGAAGCCCGUGAUUGCAAUCCAAAACUGGUCAUGCCUAUCUCAAGUUUUGUCCACCAUUACAAGGUCUUGCUGGAUGAAUUGCUCUCUCGGAUUAAGAAAGAUGACACCCAGUUUAUUGCUAGUCAUUGCUUAAUUCAGAAAAGAUACUGUCAUACAAAUGUGAAGAUUCUAAAAAGUGAAGAUAUUGGUGUUAUCUUGCUUGGAAGAUUGAAGGUUUCAGCUUCUGGAAUACUACAGUUGCAAGACAGAACUAGCAGCAUUAAUGUUCUGAUGCCAGACUUUCUAAGUGAUAGAAAUUCGUGCAGGAUAUAUGAGGUUUCUGAUUACAAUCUCAUUAUGGAAAUACCUGAAUCAAUGCGCCACAUCCCGUUUCUUCAAAAGCCACUUCACUGUAAAAUUUUGCUUGAUCCCACUUCAAUGGAUAGCGACAACGCCUUGACAGUGCCAUUUUCUCUAUCGUUUGGUGCUGCAAACUGUAAAACUGCUCUCGUGGAUCAGUCUAUUGACUGGAGGCAUGAUCUCAAUGAGUUCAAAGGGGGCAGGUUUCACGUAUUUAGGGUGACACAUAAAUUUCCAAUUCUCAAAAAGGGUCUUCCAGGAAUUCCUGACUGCACCAGUGUUUUCAUCGAAGCUGUAAUCAUUCCAUGGGAACUCGUUUGCACUGUGACCGAAGAAGACGCAGCUGCUCCCCAAUUUGAUGAAAGCAAGACCUCCCAAGAAGAACAUCCACGUAAGAGAUGUAAAACUAAUAAAUCAUUAGGGAGUGAAAGAGUAUUGUCUGUACCGCAUGAAAUUUCCUGCGACAUGACCGUUCGAUGUGCAAGCAGUCACUGGUCGGCCGUAGCAGCAACUCUGUCUAAUUUAAAGGAAAAGAAAAGUGGUAACAUGCGAAGUGUUAAGCGUGUGCUGUUAGAAUUCAUACCUGAAUGCAAAAACUAUAAUGGGUUGCAGAUUGGUGGUUUCUAUUUGAUGAAGCAUGACAUUGACGAUUCUUUUUGUUUUGGACGGUCCAGCAUAUCUAACAAUGAUAAAAUCAAUAUCAGACCCGAAUCACGUUUAUGGAGUCUGGAAUUUUCUUUUGAUGAAGUUUCAACCCAUAAUGGAUCUAUGGAUGUAUAUCCUCUGGUGUCUUCUCAACCAUCUCCUGCGGUGGGACAACGAGAUGUUUCUUGUCCACAACGUUUUUCAGAUGUUUCGCUUCUUCUCCCUUAUGAUGCAAAAGCUCUCUUCUCAGUAUAUCUUAAGGACUUGGACGAACUGAACAAGCCAGUCGCAGUUGAAAAGGAUGGAGAUAAUACUCAGGGAGAGAUUAUCAUGCAUGCAGAGCCGUCUCAACCACCUAUUUCCAACAGCUUGUUUCCUGAGGGAAACCUAGCGACUUUCACGGGUGAUGUAGUGGCAGUUGAGGCUGUUGACUCGAGUGUCAUCAGCAGCUAUUGCAUUCAUGUUCGAGUCGAUUAUCAAAUUGUGAAGAUUUUUGGUCCACUUAGAAGGCACUCAUACCUCACUGGAUUUGGCCCUGGGGUGAAUGCAACAUUCUACCGGAUUCUUGGAACUAGAGAGGAAAGCAGGUUUCUCUUGUCAUCAGCAUCUUUUGUCAAAAUAAACUCACGAAAGGCAUUGAAUGGUCCAGCUUUAGACAAACCGACUCAUCAAACUGCUAUUGGUCUACCUAAAAUAAGACCUCAAGAAUCCUCAGGACACAAGGAUAAUCGGCAAAUUAACUUUGUCUGCAAGGUUCUUUCAGUUCAUCUUCUGGUUCUCCAAGUGGAAUCUGAUGAUCCUUCAGAAAACAAAUGUGGGGAAAAUAUAGAUAUACCGCUUGCAGGAUUUGUGGUAGAUGACGGAUCAUCAACUUAUCUAUGCUGGACGAGUGGGGAAAGAGCAUUUACAUUUCUUAGGGUGCACGAAGAAUUGCCUGAAGACGCCAUUGAUGUGGACCAGUGGAUCAGAAGCGACAGCAGCCGGAGCACAACAGCUUACCAUCUUGAGAAAAUAGUUUGGGUUCACAAGAGAAUAGUGAUUAAGGUCAAUGGAUCACAAAAUGAUGCACUCUUUCAAAACCUCACCAUUGAUGUUGCUUCACAACAACUUCUCGCCGAGUCGGAGGAUAAUUUCCUCAAGUGGUUGAUACUAAAUGCCACUAGCGGCCCCAUGUGGGAUGUUACGGCGAGCUCAAUGGACAUGAAAAUGAUUCAGCAUGUGGAGAGAGAACAGUGUGUGGAGAUGGAAGCUUCAGGGCUUACACGUCGGAACGUUUGGGGCAAUGAAAUAUGUCAAGUCGAUACGUUGGUCCGAGCUUGGAGCUUACUCCAAGAAGCGACAGUGAUGGCGAUAGCUCUUUAGGGUUUUCAUGCUCUUUUGAAGAUGGGAUCCGGGUUCUCAAGGGAUAAAACGAAAUCGAUCAGAUCUCUACUAUAAUGAAACGAUCGGGAGGAUUCUGGGACGAAAUGGAGUUCUAGCAACUAGGGUUAUUUUGGUUUUGCGAAGGAUUUUGUGGGUCGGAGCAAAUAUUGGGAGUGCAUGGAGCGUAUUAUCAUUAGGAUCUUCGAAAUGGAUGCGGAAUCAAGAGGAUCAAUCAAAAGAUUAUCAAGGCUUAUAUUGGUGUUUGGUCAUAUGUUGGAGACAAAUUGGGAGGACUGGAAAUAGGUGGGAUAACUGGAGUUCUCUGAGAUGCUGGAUCAAUUUUCCUGUCCUAUUUACAGCACUGCAAACUCUUAACUUGGUCCCAUCAAACCAGUUAUAGAGAAGGGAUACAUAUAUGGAAAAGACUACGAGGUGUCUUUUAAAGGGGAUACAGGUCGAUGAUAGAGUUGUUCCAAGAAUGGCUGUGAAAUCUUAUUUACUCUUCUCUAUAAUUUGCUUAUCAUGGGUGAAACUUAUACUAGCUACGUUGUGAUUUUUUUGGAUAAAGGAAACAGAUUCAGUGAUGGAAAAAGAGUUAACAGAAUGAUUGGCUCUGAACUUGGGCUAGUAAAUGGGUACAAGUGUAUUGUUAUUGGUUAUAAGUGGACAGAUUUGGGUCGCUUUAUUGCUCCACUCCUUGUUUAUUGGUGACACAUUAUAGGAGCUGAUCAUGGGCUUGAAUCACUACGAUGUGAUGACCUGCAGCUAUUUGUAUUUGAUUCAAUUUUUUUAAUGGUGGGGUUUGAUAUGGUUCCGCGGGUCAGUAUGAUAAAAUAUAGGUUCUGUUUUCCUUCCUAGAAAACAGUACUCUUAUGGCUAUGCAAUGGUUUAAUCAUAAUUCAUGCAAUCGUUAUGGGUUUAAUGGUUGAUGGUAUGAGGGAGCGGGCAGGUUUUGAGGUUUGGUGGUUAUGGCUCUCUACAAAGAGGGGUCGCGGAAAGAGCUUUAUGGUGUUACGAGAACGUACAAGAUGGAGUGGUAAAGAUAAUUACGACACACUUUGGCACUGCAGUCGUCGGCUCCGACAUCAAGUCUUCUAUUGUCGAGUGGAGUUUUAAGUUGUUGACACUAAGAGCGAUAUUUGGCAAAGGGUCACUUUUGGAAAACGUUUUCAUUGAUAUGGUUAACUGCUGAUUUAAUGAAAUUGGAGGAAAGUAUAUUCACACUGGUGGGACUGGAUUCUUGGUUAUCAUUAAGCCCAAGUAUAAAAAAUAAAUUUUGUAUGGUAUUAUAUAGUGAAUGGGCUCGUUUAUUUUUAAUAGUAACAGGUUUUCUC